GAAAGGGAUGCAUGUAUCGCGAAGUUUAAGAGCUGCGAGUA
rnacentral:rRNA from 1 species